AGGAUUAUAGUUUUAUAAAACAUUUGAUUUGCACUCAAAAAAUAUUGAUUUUUCAAUUUAUCUUA
rnacentral:tRNA from 1 species